AGUGCUCAAAUAAAACCUUCAAGUUGAAUAUGGAUUUAAGGCUUUCCGCCUGCUAGUCUCGAGAUGUAAUUUAAAUGAAAGUACCAUACUUACUGCUAUCUCAGCAGCAGCAGUAACAAACAUUUAUCCACUGUAUGGUGUAUGUGCGUCAUUGCCCUGGACUCUCCAUGGUUUUCAACCCAUAGGAUUUAAUCAUUUUAUUUUCUUUGGUUCUCUCAUUGCUCUGGCAACCAGCUCUAUGCCUUGCACAGAGUGAAGAUUCCAUAAAUAUUUGUUAAACAAACAUUAAUGUUAUAAAAA
rnacentral:lncRNA from 10 species